rnacentral:lncRNA from 1 species
AGUCAAGGCUUUGGACAUAGCAACACAAGAAGCCUUUUAACCCAUGAAACUGACUUUGAGCAAUCUUCACAGCUACUCAAUAAAAUUCUAAUCAAGCAAAACUUUCACACUAGAAUAGAGCAUUAUGAGUUUGCAAUCCAAACUUCCUCAAACAUCAUAGAUACUAUCAAAAUGGUAAAUCACUAUGUAAUUUCUAAUCAAAUUAUUAAGUGGGGGGA